rnacentral:tRNA from 1 species
GACCCCUGGCCUAAUGGCUAAGGUAUCUGACUUCAGCCUAGAAGAGUAUGGGUUCAAGUCCCUUUGUGGUUG